UCGUGUGCUUGAUCACAGGUAGUUAAAAGAUGUGUAGGCAAGAAAUAAGUCAGGAUAUAUACUUGCCCGAUUGGACCUGAUGGGAAAUAUGGUAGCCUUAUAGCCAUGCCUUUAUAGGUCUCUGCUAAAUGUCAUUGGUACCCAUUUUCUGGGAACCCUAGGAUGAUCCUGGCAGAAUGUAUUAUAGUGGCCAGUGUUAGCAUUCUGUCUAGGCUCCACCCCACAGUUACCUGGCAACAGCCAGGUAUGUAUAAGAGGGGCUGCUUUCCCCCUCCUCUCUCUCUUGCCUUCUUGUUCUCACUGUCCUCUCCCCCUCCCCAUCUCUCUCCACUUGCUCAUGGCUGGCCUCUACUCCUCUACUCUUACACACACUCUCUCUCUCUUUCUCUCUCUCUCUCUCCCUCAGGGGGAAGGGAUGUCUCAGCAUGGGCCCUGCAGAGGCACCCCCUUCCCCCACACCUAACUACACAUCCACCAAACCUAUUCCUUUUCUCCAUAACGUUUUAUAAAACACAGCAGUCAGUAUUUAAUUAAAGCUUGCCUCAAAUUUGGGUCAAAUUUAGUGGUAGUGGUCUCAUUCUUGAUCGGUUCAACACCACCACACAAGCUCUCCAAGCCUCUUUCCAGUGCCAUAUUCUCCACAGGGACUUGUCUGACUU
rnacentral:lncRNA from 1 species